UCUCGUUACUAAAGAUAAAUUUUAUUUCAAUAAAAAUUGUAAUGAGCUUGAUCACCUACCCUUUUCACCUGACUUGGCUACAAAUGACUGCCAACUGUUUAAAAAAAAAAAUCCAACCGACCCUCAGAGCUAAUAUGCUAUUACUUUUAAAGAUUACAGACAGGCCAGGCGUGGUGGCUCACGCCUGUAAUCCCAGCACUCUGGGAGGCCAAGUUCCUAUUUCUUAGUGUUAGAAAGAAAGAGAGAGAAAUCCCUCAGAACAAUCAGCAGCCUGGAGCAUAGUUUGAGACUCCCACUAACAGAGCCAAGAGUCUCAAACUAGGCCAACAGGCACCCUUGGGGAACUCUGCUGAGGCUGAGGCAGGAGAAUUCCCGGAACCCGGGAGGCGGAGGUUGCAGUGAGCUGAGAUCGCGCCAUUGCACUUCAGCCUGGGCAGCGAGAGCGAGACUCGGUCUCAAAAAAAUAAAAAAAUAAAAAAGCCUCUCUUGUGUCCUUGUCCCCAGCCUUCCAGCUCUCCUCUGAGGGAACCAGUUUUCAAGAUGGCCCGCAACAAUCCCUGCCUGCUGCCAUUCACACCUUGUUUAGUCCCCUCCCACGCUGGAAAGAUCCAUGUUGGGGCUCGUGUGUGACCAAUGCCGCAGAAGUGAUGUUAUGUCACUUCCGCGAUUACGUCAUGAAAGACUGCAGCUUCCAUUGUUGGCUCUUUCUUUCUCUUUCUUGGAUCAGUCGCUUUGGAGGAAGCCAGCUGCCAUGUUUUGAGGACACUAAGGCACUUUACGGAGAGGCCCACGUGUUCUUGUUCUAGGUGCUGGUGAUAGAACUGUGAACCAAAGGUCAUUGCCUUCAAGGAGUUUAUAUUCAAGUGGAGAAGAUGGAAAACCCUCCCCUCACAAACAAACAGACUCUGAAACCUGAUAAAUAAAUAUUAG
rnacentral:lncRNA from 1 species